GAACGCUGGCGGCGUGCCUAAUACAUGCAAGUCGAGCGAACAGACGAGGAGCUUGCUCCUCUGACGUUAGCGGCGGACGGGGGAGUAACACGUGGAUAACCUACCUAUAAGACUGGGAUAACUUCGGGAAACCGGAGCUAAUACCGGAUAAUAUAUUGAACCGCAUGGUUCAAUAGUGAAAGACGGGUUUGCUGUCACUUAUAGAUGGAUCCGCGCCGCAUUAGCUAGUUGGUAAGGUAACGGCUUACCAAGGCAACGAUGCGUAGCCGACCUGAGAGGGUGAUCGGCCACACUGGAACUGAGACACGGUCCAGACUCCUACGGGAGGCAGCAGUAGGGAAUCUUCCGCAAUGGGCGAAAGCUUGACGGAGCAACGCCGCGUGAGUGAUGAAGGUCUUCGGAUCGUAAAACUCUGUUAUUAGGGAAGAACAAAUGUGUAAGUAACUAUGCACGUCUUGACGGUACCUAAUCAGAAAGCCACGGCUAACUACGUG
rnacentral:rRNA from 1 species